CAGAAAAGAAAUAGGAGAAAAGAAGAAGGAGAGGAAAAAGAGAAAGAAGAAAGGAAAAGAAGGAGAAGGAAGAAGAAUACGAGAGGCGGAGGUGUACAGCAGUCCUUGCUGCUGUAUACUCACUCGGCUACUGUUGUUCAGCCAUGGAAGCUGCUUAAGAUGAGUGCAUGCAAGUGAGUUGCACUCUCCACUUCAAGAUGGUACUGAUUGGGUCUUGAUUCAGCUGAAAUUUGGAGAGAAUGGAUGAUCUAGUUGUAUGCAUGCACCAAGAGAACACAAACGGAAUCUUAUGAACACAUUUGUUGAGGAUACGCAAGGCUAGGACAUUUAUGAAGAAUUUUAGAUAUGAGAUUUCAGGUGUUGAAGUUGAAGCAGAGAAGAGUAGGAGAUUGUUGAAGAUAAAGUCAUGGGCAGGGAGUGAUUAUAGACAAGGACUUUUGAUACUUUUUGUAUUAUAGAGCAAAUUAAAUGUAAGUGGUACUAUGUAAUUUGUUGUAACCUAUGGAGAAUUAUUAAUGCGCCUGUAAUAUUAUAAAAUUAUCAUUGUAGCUGAUCACCACAUGUACAUUAUGAUCUUUAUGGAAUUUUACAUAUACUUUGAUUU